rnacentral:rRNA from 1 species
UACGGGGGGGGCAAGCGUUGUUCGGAAUUACUGGGCGUAAAGGGCUCGUAGGUGGCCAACUAAGUCAGACGUGAAAUCCCUCAGCUUAACUGGGGAACUGCGUCUGAUACUGGAUGGCUUGAGUGUGGGAGAGGCGCGUGGAAUUGCAGGUGUAGCGGUGAAAUGCGUAGAUAUCUGCAGGAACACCCGUGGCGAAAGCGGCGCGCUGGACCACUACUGACGCUGAAGAACGAAAGCUAGGGGAGCAAACAGG